rnacentral:lncRNA from 1 species
UCCCUUCCCCAGAUUCUCUCCCUCACCCCCGAUUCCCCAUCCCCCGGCGGUGGCUCGCCCCUUCCUCGACCCGAGAUCCGACGCCCACAUGUCAUCGCUAACCACCUGUCUGGCCACAGGCCAUCGACGGGCCGCCCCGCCACGCCGUCCCCUGGCGGCUCCCCUCUCCUCUCGAUCCAAAUCGGAUCAGGGCUGGCCCCCGCCCCCGCCGGACCACCGCACCUUCCCGGCCUCCUCACGCCUCGCCAACGAACACCUGCACCGGGGGUUAGCUGUUUCCCCCUUCCCUCUCACUUCUCUUCCGCCCCCGGUAUGACCGGAACUGCCACAUCGUCCUGCCCUUCCGGCGAGAUCCGCGCGCCCGCCAGCACCCCCUUCGCUCCUGUCCCCGCCCGGGGCCACGACUGCCCUCACCCGUGCCGCCCCAGGCCGUGCCGUGGCUGCGCCCGCGCGUGCACUCUGCUAUGCCUGGCCGUGCUCACCUUGUCCGGCUACGCAUGCCUUUGCUCGCCUGCGCCCGUGCCGCGCCGUUGCCGCUACUGCUACUACAGCUGCCGCUGCCUGCUACUUCUUCAGUCCCUGCCGCUGAUUGCUGCUCUGUUGCCUCCUCCUACCAGCAGCUGUCCGCUACUGUUGCCGGCCAGCCAAGCCAUGGCUGACUGCAUGUGUGUGUGCACACCCAGCCGUGGCCUGGACAGUUCCACCACGGCCGGCCCUUCAUUAGAUUAGGGGCUAAUCCCCUCCCCACACCGAAUAACACACGGGGUGGACCCCCCUCUAAACAUUUUAUUUUGUUAAAGGAAAAUAUAUUAAAAAUAAAAACGGUAAUUAAAAUAAUUAUUUAGUUAAAUUAAUUAAUUAAUUACCUAAUUAGUGUAUUUAAGAUUAAUUAGUUUAAUUAAAAGUGUUUAUUAAUUAGUUAAACAUGAAAUUAAAAUAUUGUGUCAAUGACAACUAAUUUAACUAGGUAAUAAAUUUAUGCAAUAUUAGUCCUUAACAUGUGGGUCCUUUGACGUUGUUAACCAGUCAAAGUGUGACUGGUCAACUACUGACUAUGCAUGCUGACUGGACCACCUAGUCCCAUUGUCAUACACUAGGGUUACGAACACACUAGGUCCCUUUUCCAUCCGUUUCGCAUGUUCGGUAGUAGCUAGAGACCCGGGAAAUACUGUCAGAUAUUUUCCCGAUCUGUCUAUGACGGGUAAUACUGUGUUAGCUCAUGCCUAGCCCUCCAUAUUGCCAUGUCAUAUUUGUGAUGCAUUUGAUAGCUCUAUUAUUUACUGUGUGUCCCCUACAUUACUUCCUUUUCGGUAGACCCCGAGACCGAUGAUGAUCCGGUGAUCGACUACUUCCCGAUCGAGCCACCGUUUUUGUCUGAAGAGCAACAAGGCAAGCAAACCCCCUUGACCAUUCCUAUAUCGCCUAUUCUUUCUCCAUCAUGCUUUCAUUAGAAUUUUGCUAUUGUUCUAGAUAGCUCCUAUUCUGAUGCAUAGCCUUUUUUCGAUGAAUUGCUACUUUACUGUACUGCAAUCUAAACUAUUUAGAAUAGGUGGUGUAGUCAUCCCCUUUGACCCCUUAGACCAGUUGCCCCCUCUUUUUGGUCAAGUCUCGAUCAACUGAUCGACGAGCCAAGACUCGACACUUCACUCACACCCCCUUAUUUGUGCAAUGUUGCAGAGCUACUAUCGAGUACCGAGGGUGACACCUCGUUACGUACUCCUGAUGUUAGCGUAGUGGUGUAGUUAACUGAUGGUGGUUCACGUAGGAUGAUUCCUUCUUCACCACUUCCGAUAACAGCUCUGUCGUACAACCCAUCAAGCUAGCCCAGCGAGGCUCAUUCCUCCCUGGCCACCUUGACGAUUACGUUGUUCGGAAUCCAUCGAGGGUGAUACCUCGGAUCCCUCUAAUUUUAUAGCCACACAGUUACUUCACCUUGUUACUGGGAACUUUGAUGGAUGAUGUGUUGCGGGUGGAUUCCCGUGUGUAUGUGACGACGAGUUAAUUAAAAUGUUAAUGGAUUUGGGUAUUUGAUCUCGGUUGGUCGGAGACCUUUUCGCACUAACCAGCUACGCGGGAGAAGUUAUGGGUACUCGACAUCGUGGUAUUAGCCGAAGCUCUCCAGACGUCACCAAUGGAGCGGCGCGCGCCCGAGUAGUCUGGAUUAUCACCGUUCUUGUAUAAGAGCUGCCAUGACUGACAUCGACCGCCCUUGCAACGUGCAGGAGCGCAAUGGUGUUGGGGAUCAUAGUAAUUUCAAAAUUUUCCUACGCCAUGCAAGGAUCUAUCUAUGGAGAAACCGGCAACGAGCAAUGGAGUAGAGCAUCUUCAUACCUUUGAAGAUCGCUAAGCAGAAGCGUUACUAUGAACGUGGUUGAUGGAGUCGUAAUCGCAGCGAUUCAGAUCACGGUGGAUUCCAAUCUAUGUGCCGAAUCAUGACACCUCCGCGUUCAACACACGUGCAACCCGGUGACGUCUCCAACACCUUGAACCAGCAAGGAUGAAGGAGAGGUUGAGGGAGAGAGCUCCGGCAGCAUGACGGCUUGGUGGCGAUGGAGCUACGUGGUUCUCCGACAAGGCUUCGCCAAGCGUUGCAGAGGACAAGGAGAGAGAGAGAGAGAGAGAGGAAGGGCUGUGCCGAGAGAGAGAGAGAGAGNNNNNNNNNNNNNNNNNNNNNNNNNNNNNNNNNNNNNNNNNNNNNNNNNNNNNNNNNNNNNNNNNNNNNNNNNNNNNNNNNNNNNNNNNNNNNNNNNNNNNNNNNNNNNNNNNNNNNNNNNNNNNNNNNNNNNNNNNNNNNNNNNNNNNNNNNNNNNNNNNNNNNNNNNNNNNNNNNNNNNNNNNNNNNNNNNNNNNNNNNNNNNNNNNNNNNNNNNNNNNNNNNNNNNNNNNNNNNNNNNNNNNNNNNNNNNNNNNNNNNNNNNNNNNNNNNNNNNNNNNNNNNNNNNNNNNNNNNNNNNNNNNNNNNNNNNNNNNNNNNNNNNNNNNNNNNNNNNNNNNNNNNNNNAGAGAGAGAGAGAGAGAGUUUUCAUGUCUCAAAUCAGCCCCAAACCUUGGGUAUUUAUAGGAGGGAGGGAGAGAGGGUGCGCACCCCUAGGAUUCACUCCCUAGGGGUGGCGGCAGCCCUAGAUGUCCAGGGAGGGCUGGCGGGCAAGGUGGAGAGGAGGGCGGCGCCCUAGGUGGGCCUUGGGCCCCUCCCAGCCUAGGGUUUGCCCCUACACCUCUCCUCGCGCCUUGGGCUGAGAGGGGAGGGCGCACCAGCCCACUUUGGGCUGCUCCCCUUCCACCUUUUUGCCCAUGAAGCCUCUUGGGGCUUGUGUCCCCUCCCGGUGGACCCCCGGAACCCUUCCGAUGGUCCCGGUACGUUAUUGGUGACGCCCGAAACACUUCCGGUGUCCGAAACCUCACAUCCUAUAUAUCAAUCUUUACCUCCGGACCAUUCCGGAGGUCCUCGUGACAUCCGAGAUCACAUCCGGGACUCCGAAAAACCUUCGGUAACCACGUACACUAUUUCCCUAUAACCCUAGCGUCAUCGAACCUUAAGUGUGUAGACCAUACGGGUUCGGGAAGCAUGCAGACAUGACCGUGACACUCUCCGGUCAAUAACCAAUACUGGGGUCUGGAUAUCCAUGUUGGUUCCCACAUGUUCCAUGACGAUCUCAUCGGAUGAACCACGAUGUCAAGAAUUCACUUAAUCCCGCAUGCAAUUCUCUUUGUCUAUCGGUAUGACACUUGCCCGAGAUUCGAUCGUCGGUAUCCACAUACCUUGUUCAAUCUCGUUACUGGCAAGUCUCUUUACUUGUUCUGUAGCACAUCAUCCCGUGGCUAACUCCUUAGUCACAUUGAGCUCAUUAUGAUGAUGUUCUACCGAGUGGGCCCAGAGAUACCUCUCCAUCACACGGAGUGAAAAAUCCCGGUCUCCAUUCGUACCAACCCAACAGACACUUUCUAAGAUACCCGUAAUGCACCUUUAUAGUCACCAAGUUACGUUGUGAUGUUUGAUACACCCAAAGCACUCCUACGGUAUCCGGGAGUUGCACAAUCUCACGGUCUAUGUAAAAUAUACUUGACAUUAGAAAAGCUUUAGCAUACGAACAACACGAUCUAGUGCUAUGCUUAGGAUUGGGCUUGUCCAUCACAGUAUUCCCCAAUGACGUCAUCCCAUUAUCAAUGACAUCCAAUGUCCAUGAUCAGGAAACUAGGAUCAUCUAUUGAUCAGUGAGCUAGCCAACUAGAGGCUCACUAGGGACACAUUGUGAUCUAUAUAUUCACACGUGUAUUACGGUUUUCGGUUAAUACAAUUAUAACCUGAAUAAUAGACAAUUAUCAUGAACUAAGAAAUAAAUAAUAACCACUUUAUUUGCCUCUAGGGCAUAUUUCCAACAAUCUCCCACUUGCACUAGAGUCAAUAAUCUAGUUACAUUGUGAUGAAUCGAACACCCAUAGAGUUCUGGUGCUGAUCAUGCUUUGCCCGUGGAAGAGGUUUAUUCAAUGGGUCUGCGACAUUCAGAUCUGUAUGUACUUUACAAAUAUCUAUAUCUCCAUCCUAGAUGUAUCCACGAAUGGAGUUGAAGCGACGCUUGAUGUGCUUGGUCUUCUUGUGAAACCUGGGCUCCUUUGCAAUGGCAAUAGCUCUAGUGUUGUCACAGAACAGAGUCAUCGGGCCCGACUCACUUGGAAUCACUCCUAGGUCGGUGAUGAACUCCUUCAUCCAAACUCCUUCCUGUGCUACUUACGAAGCAGCGAUGUACUCCGCUUCACAUGUAGAUGUCGCCACGAUGCUUUGCUUGCAACUGCACCAGCUAACUGCCCCAUUUUGCAAAAUAUACAGUAUACGGUUUGUGACUUGGAGUCAUCCGGAUCUGUGUCGAAGCUAGCAUCAACGUAACCCUUUACGACGAGCUCUUGGGCACCUCCAUAAACGAGAAACAUAUCUUUAGUCCUUUUCAGGUACUUCAGGAUAUUCUUGACCGUUGUCCAGUGAUCCACUCCAGGAUCACUCUGUUACCUCCCUACCAAACUUAUGGCAAGGUUCACAUCAGGUCUGGUACACAUCAUGGCGUACAUAAUAGAACCUAUGGCUGAAGCAUAGGGGAUGGUACUCAUCUUCUCUAUAUAUUCUGCCGUGGUCGGUCAUUGAGUCGCACUCAACCUCACACCUUGUAAUACAGGAAAUAACCCCUUCUUAGUGUUCUCCAUAUUGAACUUUUUCAAUAUUUUGUCAAGGUAUGUGCUUUGUGAAAGACCUAUGAGGCGUCUCGAUCUAUCUCUAUAGAUCUUGACGCCAAAUAUGUAAGUAGCUUCUCCAAGGUCCUUCAUCGAAAAACUCUUAUUCAAAUAGGCCUUUAUGCUUUCCAAUAGUUUUAUAUCAUUUCCCAUCAACAAUAUGUCAUCCACAUAUAAUAUGAGAAAUGCUACACAGCUCCCACUCACUUUCUUGUAAAUACAGGCUUCUCCAUAAGUCUGUAUAAACCCAAACGCUUUGAUCACCUCAUCAAAGCGAAUGUUCCAACUCCGAGAUGCUUGCACCAACCCAUAGAUGGAGCGCUGGAGCUUGCAUGCCAUGUUAGCAUUGCUAAGAUCGAUAAAACCUUACGGCUGUAUCAUAUGCAAUUCUUCUUUAAGAAAGUCGUUUAGGAAUGCCGUUUUGACGUCCAUUUGCCAGAUUUCAUAAUCAUAGAAUGCGGCAAUUGCUAACAUGAUUCGGACCGACUUUAGCAUCGCUACGGUGAGAAGGUCUCAUCGUAGUGAAUCCCUUGAACUUGUCGAUAACCUUUAGCGAGAAAUCGAGCCUUAUAGAUGGUCACAUUACCAUCUGCAUCAGUCUUCUUCUUGAUGAUCCAUUUAUUUUCUAUGGCUCGCCGAUCAUCGGGCAAGUCCACGAAAGUCCAUACUUUGUCCUCAUACAUGGAUCCUAUCUCAAAUUUCAUGGCCUCAAGAAAUUUGUUGGAAUUCGGGCCCGCCAUCGCUUCUUCAUAGUUCGAAGGUUCACUGUUGUCCAACAACAUGAUUUCCAUGACAUGGUUGCCGUACCAUUCUGGUGCGGAACGUAUCCUUGUCGACCUUUGAGGUUCAAUAGCAACUUGAUCCGAAGUGUCAUGAUCAUCAUCAUUAACUUCAUCCCUAGCCGGUGCAGGUGCCUCAAAAACAUUUUCUUGCGUUGUGCUACUCUCCGGUUCGAGAGGAGGUACAAUUACCUCAUCAAGUUCUAGUUUCCUCCCACUUACUUCUUUCGAGAGAAACUCCUUCUCUAGAAAGAAUCUGUUCCUAGCAACAAAGAUCUUACCUUCGGAUCUAAGAUAGAAGGUGUACCCAAUAGUUUCCUUAGGGUAUCCUAUGAGGACGCAUUUUUGCGCUUUGGGUUCGAGCUUCUAUGGUUGAAGUUUCUUCACAAAAGCAUCGCAGCCCCAAACUUUUAGAAACGACAGCUUAGGUUUCUUGCCAAACCAUAAUUCAUACGGUGUCGUCUCAAUGGAUUUAGACGGUGCCCUAUUUAAAGUGAAUGCGGUAGUUUCCAAUGCAUAUCCCCAAAAUGAUAGCAGUAAAUCGGUAAGAGACAUCAUAGAUCGCACCAUAUCCAAUAAAGUCCGAUUACGACGUUCAAACACACCGUUACGCUGCGGUGUGCCAGGCGGCGUGAGUUGUGAAACAAUUCCACAUUCCCUAAGGUGCGUGCGAAACUCAUGACUCAAAUAUUCUCCUCCACGAUCAGAUCGUAGAAACAUUAUUUUCUUGUCACGUUGAUUCUCCACCUCAUUCUGAAAUUCCUUGAACUUUUCAAAGGUUUUAGACUUGUGCUUCAUUAAGUAGACAUACCCAUAUCUACUCAAAUCAUUAGUGAUGGUGAGAACAUAACGAUAGCCUCCGCAAGCUUCAACACUUAUUACACCGCAGACAUCGAUAUGCAUUAUUUCCAAUAAGUUGGUCGCUCGCUCCAUUAUUCUGGAGAAUGGUGUCUUAAUCAUCUUACCCAAGAGGCAUGGCUCGCAUGUGUCAAAUGAUUCAAAAUCAAGAGACUCCAAAAGUCCAUCAGUAUGGAGUUUCUUCAUGCGCUUUGUGCUGAUAUGACCAAGGCAGCAGUGCCACAAGUAUAUGGGACUAUCAUUAUCAACCUUGCAUCUUUUAGCACUCACACUAUGAAUAUGUGUAUCAUCACGAUCGAGAUUCAUUAGGAAUAAACCAUUGGCCAACGAGUAUUGACCAUAAAACAUACCACUCAUAUAAAUAGAACAACCAUUAAUAUCUGAUUUAAAUGAGUAGCCAUCUUGCAUCAAGCAAUAUCCCGAUACAAUGUUCGUGCUUAAAGCUAGUACUAAAUAAAAAUUAUUAAGGUUUAUAACUAAAACCGAAGGUAGAUGUAGAGUUAGCGUGCCGACGGUGAUCACAUCGACCUUGGAACCAUUCCCAGCCUGCAUCGUCACCUCCUACUUGUCUAGCUUACGCUUGUUCCGUAGUUCCUGCUUAGAGUUGCAAAUGUGAGAAACAAUCCCGAUAUCAAAUACCUAGGAGCUACUACGAGCGCUGGUAAGGUACACAUCAAUAAGAAGUAUAUCACAUAUACCUUUGACGUUGCUGGCCUUCUUGUCCGCUAAGUACUUGGGGCAAUUCGUCUUCCACUGACUGGUUCCCUUGCAGUAGUAGCACUCAGUCUCAGGCUAAGGUCCUUUCUUUGACUUCUUCCCGACAACUGGCCUACCGGGUGCGGUAACGGUUUUUCCGUCUUUCUUGAAGCUUUUCUUACCCUUGCCCUUCUUGAAACUGGUGGUCUUAUUGACCAUCAACACUUGAUGCUCUUUCUUGAUUUCUACCUCCACAUAUUUCAGCAUUGAAUACAACUCGAGAAUAGUCUUUUCCAUCCCUUGCAUGUUGUAAUUCAUCACAAAUACUUUGUAGUUAGGUCGAAGCGACUAGAGGAUUCUGUCAAUGACCGCAUUAUUAGGAAGUUCAACUCUCAGCUGAGUCUAGCGGUUGUACAACCCAGACAUUCUGAGUAUGUGCUCACUGACAGAACUAUUCUCCUCCAUCUUAUAGCUGAAGAACUUGUCGGAGACUUCAUAUCUCUCAACCCGGGCAUGAGCUUGAAAAACAAGUUUCAGCUCCUCGAACAUCUCAUAUGCUCCGUGUUGCUCAAAAGCCGUUUGGAGCCCCGGUUCUAAACUAUAAAGUAUGCCGCACUAAAUGAGAGAGUAGUCAUCACUCCGCGACUGCCAGGCGUUCCUAGCAUCCUGGUCUGCCGCGGGAGCGGGAGGAUCACCAAGUGGUGCAUCAAGGACAUAUGCCUUCUUGGAAGCCAUGAGGAUGAGCUUUAAGUUACGAGCAGAGUCCGCAUAGUUGCUCCCAUCGUGUUUCAGCUUGGUUUUCUCUAGGAACGCGUUGAAGUUGAAUGGGACAUUUGCGUUGGCCAUUGGAUCUACAAUAUUUGUAAAGACACUUUUAGACUAAGUUCAUGAUGAUUAAUCUCAUCUAAUCAAAUUACUAAAGAACUUCCACUUAGAUCGACACCCCUCUAGUCAUCCAAGUGACACAUGAUCCACGUCGACUAGCGUGUGUCCGAUCAUCAUGUGAGAUGGACUAGUCAUCAAUGGUGAGCAUAUCUAUGUUGAUUGUGUCAACCAUACGACUCAUGUUCGACCUUUCGGUCUCCCGUAUUCGAGGCCAUGUCUGUACAUGCUAGGCUCGUCGAGUCAACCUAAGUGUUCUGCAUGUGUAAACUGGCUUACACCUGUUGUAUGCGAACGUUAGAAUCUAUCACACCCAAUCAACACAUGGUGCUUCAAAACAACGAACCUUUGCAACGGUGCACACUUAGGGGAAUACUUAUCUCAAAAUUUUAUGAGGGAUCAUCUUAUCUUUGCUACCGUCAUUCUAAGCAAUAAGAUGUAAAACAUGAGAACGUCACCUGCAAUCAUAUAGUGACAUGAUAUGGCCAAUAUCGUCUUGCGCCUUUGAUCACCAUCUUCGGCGCACAAUGAUCAUCAUCGUCACCGGCAUGACACCAUGAUCUCCAUCAUCACGAUCUCCAUCAUUGUGUCUCCGUAGAGUCGUCACGCAAACUAUUACUUCUAGUACUAUAGCUAACCGUUAGCAAGAAAGUAAAGUAAUCAACAUGGCGUUGCAUCUCAUACAAUAAAUUAAGACAACUCCUAUGGCUCCUUCCGGUUGUCAUACUCAUCGACAUGCAAGUCGCGAAUCCUAUUACAAGAACAUGAUCAAUCUCAUACAUCACAUAUGUAACAUCACAUCCUUUUGGCCAGGCCACAUCACAUAGCAUACCCUGCAAAAACAAGUUAGACAUCCUCUAAUUGUUGUUGCAAGUUUUACAUGGCUGGUUAGGGUUUCUAGCAAGAACAUUUCUCACCUACGUUACAGCCACAACAUUGAUAUGCCAAUGCUAUUUACCCUUCAUAAGGACCCUCUUCAUCGAAUCCGAUCCGACUAAAGUGGGAGAGACAGACACCCACUAGCCACCUUAUGCAACUAGUGCAUGUCGGUUGGUGGAACCAGUCUCACGUAAGAGUACGUGUAAAGUCGGUCCGGACCGCUUCAUCCCACGAUGCCGCCGAAUCAAGAUAAGACUAGUAAUGACAAGCAAAUCGACAAAUCAGGGCCCAUAACUUUUGUGUUCUACUCGUGUAUAGAAUCUACGCAUAGAAUCUUGGCUCGGAUGUCACUGUUGGGGAUCGUAGUAAUUUCAAAAUUUUCCUACGUCAUGCAAGGAUCUAUCUAUGGAGAAACCAGCAAUGAGAAAAGGAGUAGAGCAUCUUCAUACCUUUGAAGAUUGCUAAGCGAAAGCGUUACGAUGAACGCGGUUGAUGGAGUCGUACUCGCAGCGAUUCAGAUCGUAGUGGAUUCCGAUCUAUGUGCCAAAUCACAGCACCUCCGCGUUCAACACACGUGCAGCCCAGUGACGUCUCCAAUACCUUGAACCAGCAAGGAUGAAGGAGAGGUUGAGGGAGGGAGCUCCAGCAGCAUGACAGCGUGGUGGCGGUGGAGCUACGUGGUUCUCCGGCAAGGCUUCGCCAAGCACUGCGGAGGACGAGGAGAGAGAGAGGAAGGGCUGCUACGAGAGAGAGAGAGAGAGAGAGUUUUCCUGUCUCAAAUCAGCCCCAAACCUUGGGUAUUUAUAGGAGGGAGGGAGAGAGGGUGCUCAUGAUGAGAUGAUGUAUAUGUUUCUCGCUCCUCGUUGGUUACCCCAAGUGGAAGGUUGAGAUGUAGUUAGCAGCAAGUUUUCCCUUACACGGAGACCGUAAAGUUAUCAAACCAGGAGGACUCCUAGGAUCAACAAGUAGGUGUCCGCUACUCUAGCGCUAGAAGAAGACGUGGACUUGCACACACACAAAUAACUUUGCUCCAAACGAGUACAAAGAGGUUGUCAAUCUCUCUGGCCUUGUAGUUUGCAAAGGAUCAAAACACAAGCAGGAAUAGUAAUAGUGAUUGCAAUGGAAAAGUAAAUGAAAGCAGUAAAUGAUGGAAGUGUAAGCAAUAGUGGUGAUAUGGACCGGAGGCACAUGAUGUUCACUAGUGAUGGCACUCUCCGAAAAUACGAUAAACAACUAUGCUUGGGUAAACAAAUUACAGUUGGGCAAUUGACAGAAUUAUAAACGCACCGCAAUGCUAAUUAUGCUACUUGAAAGUUAGAGGCUCAAUAGUAAUGGGAAGUACACCAAGACAAGUGAUCAUUUAUUCAUCAGCAUCUACUUACUAAUCAUCCAUCUUGAGAUAUCUAUCCAGAACAUCUCGCCGGUAUUAAGUUGCGAGCCCCAUCCAAAGUGUUAACUCAAAGCAAUGGACAACUGCAUCAACGAACUAUGCAUAAGGUAAACAAUCCUCGCAACCGUGGUCACAAGCACCGUUGUUUUCUCCCUGGUGGCAACAACACAUCCCCUAGUCUCAUGUUUCUAUCAGUCAAGCUAGACAUCAGGGGGCAUGGACCCAAAAUCAUGCAUAACAAUCCCUCUUGGAGUUACAAUCUACUACUCGGCCAAAGCAAUAAAGAGCAACAGAGAACAUGCAUGAAUCACUAAGGGACAUAAUAUAAAAGGAUAAUCAAAUAUAUAACUCAUAACAAUCUGAACGUAAUCUCAUAAUCCAUCGGAUCCCAACAAACCGAGCAUAGCAAUAGAAAGAGAAUUACAUAGAUGCCUUGAUCAUGUAGGGCAGAUCACAAGGGCUAAUCAUGGAAGCACAAGAUUGGAGAGAAGACAUUAGAUAGCUACUGGUCAUGGACUCAUGGUCCAAGGAGGACUACUCACGGCACAUCCGGGAAGCAUCCAUGGCGGUGGAGAAGCUCCCGGAGGUCAAUCCUCCCUCUGGCAGGGUGCCGGGAAGAGGUCUCCUAACGCUCCCAAUCUAUGAAGCGCUACGUCGGCGGAACGAUGGAGAAAUUCACGAUUCUGGAUGAUGUGGAAGGCUUUCCUCUCGCAGGAGUAAAUAUAGGCCAACGAAGGGUGUCAGAAGAGGUGGGACCCACUCAAGCAGCCUGUAGGCGCGGCCAGGGGCCAGGCCGUGCCAGGAGGUCGCGUGGGCAUGCCCUGGCCCCCUGUGGCCCAUGUUCGGUGAUCUGGAAGCUUCCGUGACACUAAUUUAUAUAUAUUUUUCUCGGGAUUUUUGGGGCUCCGAAAAAUUGGGUAAAAGCCCGUGCAAAAAAGACAUCAGCAGAUAGAAACUCGCACUAGGUGCACUGAGUUAGUAGGUUAGUCCAAAUAUGUGUAAAAAGAUAUAAAAGUGUAGCAAAACAUAUAACAAUGUCACCCAAAAGAUCAUGGAACAAACAGAAAUUAUAUAUACGUUUGGGACGUAUCAACAUCCCCAAGCUUAAUUCCCGCUCGUCCUCGAGUAGGUAAAUGAUAUCACAAUAGUUUCUGUUGUGACAUGCUAACACACAUAUAAUAAUUUUAAAGUAAAGUAAGUAAUAUGUGCAAUUCCAGUCAAGACAAUAACAAGAAAGAGUCUAUAUCUAGUAUUGAGUUUAGCAAAGUAAGAACAUAAAGGUGCAAGAGCUCUCGCUGUCCGCAACUCGAAUGUCUCCAAAUAGUGUUUGCGUGCAAGAAGUGGGAGAUGGGUUCAUAGAAUAAAUAUGUUUUUAAUUGAGAACUCAAUCUACUAAACCUCACACUUGGUCUCCUUCGGAAUCUUAUUUUGACUCAUCCCCAAACCACUAGUGAGGCACAAGUCAAAAUGAUCCUCUCCCUUUCGACUUUAAGCACUCAUGCAAUGGAUGAGCGCAAGCAAGAUAUGUUGGCACUUAGGAUGGCAAAUAGAAUAAUGACGGGGAAGGAAGACAACAAGGUGUGAAAGGAUCACAUCAAUUAGGACAACCAUAGGCGAGAGAAAGCCAAAUGAUAGAUAUGAUGUGAGGAGUAGGGAUUGCCAUGUAACGGAUGCACAUAUGAGCUAAGGUAAGCUCUCCAAUGGAACUAGUGGGGGUGCAUCCAACUUGCUUGAUCAUGAAGACCCAGAGCUCAUUUGAGGAGGCUCAUCAUUGGAAUAUACAAGCCAAGUUCUAUAGUGUAAGGGUCCCCACAUAGUUAUGCAUGAAUGAUAAUCUCUAUGUAGUACAAAUAUAACAAUGGUGUACGAGUGUGGAUCUUUCAAAAGGAAUAGUAGUGUUGCCCCAUUCUCUAUUUUUAUUUCUCUUUUUAUUUCUUUUUAUUUUUUGUGGCCUCUUUGGCUCUUUCUAUUUAUCUCUCAUUUGUCCUCUAUGGGAUCUUUUAUUUUGUCCUCUUUGGGAUCUUUUCCUCACUUAAGGGCAACACUCUAUGUUUUAAAAGAAUAAAAAGAAGAUCAUCACACUUUAUAGGAAGUACUCAACAUAAAUACAAAUGAAAACUAUCAUGAUGUAUGCAAAUGUAUGCCUCCGCCAAUGUAGCAUGAUAUGCAAUGAUACUAGCGCGUCAUGUAGCAAUAAUAAGGGCAAGGCCCAACUAUCAUGCGGCUCCUCGAUCAAGCAAAAGCAUGUAUGACAUGAAGACCAAGUCAUGAGAUGGUGGAUGUUGCAUGGCAAUGUAUCGCGGAAAGGCUAUGGAAAUGCCUUAAUAGGUAGGUAUGGUGGCUGUUUUGAGGAAAGAUAUAAUGAGGCUUAUGUAUGACAGAGCGUAUCAUGUCAUGGGUUUGGAUGCACCGGCGAAGUUUGCACCAACUCUCAAGAUGAGAAAGGGCAAUGCACGAUACCGAAGAGGCUAGCCAAAUAUGGAUGGUGGAAGUGCCAACAAUCAAAUACUCACAUUAGUCCAAAGAACUCAUAGACUUAUUAUCGGUAACUCUCUAUCUAGUUAGGAGAUUCACAAAGAGACAAGUACCCCGAGGAGGAGUGUUUGGGGGUUUGGUUAUCCUUGCUCAUCCUCGACCCAUGGUAAUGUGAGAGUACUCUAUAUAUUCCAACCCCUCCAAAGGUUAGCGAUCAAUUUAGUAGCCAGAGUUCUCAACUAAUUUUUAGUUUUUGAAAAACACACGGAUUUCCCAAAAUACGACACCUAUCACUAAUAGGCUUAAGCUCUUUGCACCAAUAGUCCAAACAUUACUCAAAUCAAUACCUCAAAACUAUUGCAAGUUACUACUAUACUUAUAUACUAACCUCAAUUACCUACUCAUGCAAGACACACAACUCACUGCAACGAGCCAACUCUCUAAACAAGAUAAGCAUGAGAAAUCAAGAGAGUUCCAAAAGCAACCUAAAUAAUAGCUCUUAAAAAGAUAUAACCUGAAAACUAAUAGCUAAGCAUGACAGUAGCUAUGUAAAGAUAGAGAACACAGAAAAAAGGAUAAGCAUGAAAACCUAUGUUGUGUUCUAGAGUGGAAUGGAGCGUGUUUCUCUCCCAGCCAAGGUAGGCUAGGUUCCGACUUGUUAUGAACAACAAGAAAAACUAAAAAAACUAAAAAGUAAAGAGCGGGACGCUCCAAGCAUAACACAUAACAUAUGCAGUGAUAAAAAUAUAGCAUGUAGAUGGACGAACUCAUGAUUGUUGAUAGAGAAGGGGAUGCACGGGGGCAUCCCCAAGCUUAGACGCUUGAGUAUCCUUGAAUAUUUUUUGGGGUGCAUGGGGGCAUCCCCAAGCUUGAGCACUUGACACUCCUGGAUCUUCUUUCAUCAUCUCCCGUCGCAUACUUGACAACUCCCUUCUUACGAAACUCAUCAUAAGCUGAUUAGAGUGGUUAGUACCCAAGAAAAAAUAAUUCACAUGGCUAACUCCUUAGUCACAUUGAGCUCAUUAUGAUGAUGUUCUACCGAGUGGGCCGAGAGAUACCUCUCCGUCACACAGAGUGAAAAAUCCCGGUCUCGAUUCGUACCAACCCAACUGACACUUUUGGAGAUACCCGUAAUGCACCUUUAUAGUCACCGAGUUACGUUGUAACGUUUGAUACACCGAAAGCACUCCUACAGUAUCCGGGAGUUGCACAAUCUUAUGGUCUAAGGAAAAGAUACUUGACAUUAUAAAAGCUUUAGCAUACGAACAACAUGAUCUAGUGCCAUGCUUAGGAUUGGGUCUUGUCUGUCACAUCAUUCCCCAAUGAUGUGAUCCCAUUAUCAAUGACAUCCAAUGUCCAUGAUCACGAAACCAUGAUCAUCUAUUGAUCAACGAGCUAGCCAACUAGAGGCUCACUAGGGUCACAUUGUGAUCUAUAGAUUCACCCAUGUAUUACGGUUUCCGGUUAAUACAAUUAUAGCAUGAAUAAUAGACAAUUAUCAUGAACUAGGAUAUAUAAUAAUAACCACUUUAUUGUUGCCUCUAGGGCAUAUUACCAACAAAUGGGUGAUGUGCCCAUGAACCCUGCGCGUUUAGGAUUUAGACCGGUGGGCUAACCUCUCUAUUGAAUCUAGGUGGGGCUACGACUUGUCGAUGUUCCGAGGCCGGGCAUGACACAGGAAAGUAUGUUAGGCCAGCGUUUAUCGAGCAUGACGGGAAACUUGGUGCACCCGUGCAGGGAUGAAAAUUAACUAUUUGAAUAGUUGUGUCCACGAUUACAUGACGACUUGGAGUUUUGCCCCAAUCUUAUACAACUACAACUGUUACUUAACUGGAAUGUUGGUUUGGGAGUGCUUCCUCGCAGGGAGUCGACGAAGAAUCUCUAGGCGUGACCUUAAUUUAAUAUUGCUGCAACAAUAUGACUAUUAAUUGUGUUACUUGCUCUACUCUCGUCUAUUGCAGCAAGAUCCCUGAAGAUGCUAGUCUUUGAUAGGACUAGGCUUUCUCUCUCUAUUCUCGCAUUGCUGCAGUUAGUCCACAUAUAACCCCUUCCUUUGAUACUGAUGCAUACUUAGCAUAGUUCUGAUGUCAGGCUUGCGAUUACUUUGCAUGAGUACUCACUGUUGCUUUGCUCCCCCUUUUCCUCUCGACCCGUUGCUGCGACCAGAUGUUGGAGCCGAGGAGGUGUCGUUUCUCGCCGAUGACGAGUGCUCCCCCGACUGUGUCGACCGCUAGUGGAGGCCGUUGACGACCAGGAGUAGUUAGGAGGUUCCCAGUCAGGAGGCCUCACUUUGUUCGAUCGUUGUAUCUUUUGUGCUAGCCUUCUCUAAGGCAUUAGCUUGUUUCAUGUCUGUACUCAGAUAUUUGUUGCUUCCGCUAACUCGUGUGCUUUUCGAGCUUCUGUUUUUCUAGCCCUAGAGGCCCUUGGCUUGUAAUAUGAAGCUUGUAUGUUUUUCUUUGUUUCUAGAAUUGUGUCGUGAUAUGUUUGGUACGUCUCCAUCGUAUCUACUUUUACGAACUAUUUUGCCCUUGUUUUGGACUUUAA